GAUCCCAUACGGUCACUGCAGUUAAGCAACAGCGAGUCUGGUCAGUACCUAGAUGGGUAACCAUUUGGGAAUACCAGGUGCUGUAAG